UACGUAGGGUGCAAGCGUUGUCCGGAAUUAUUGGGCGUAAAGAGCCCGUAGGCGGUUUGUUGCGUCGGCUGUGAAAUCCCGAGGCUCAACCUCGGGUCUGCAGUCGAUACGAGCAAACUAGAGUGUUGCAGGGGAGACUGGAAUUCCUGGUGUAGCGGUGAAAUGCGCAGAUAUCAGGAGGAACACCGGUGGCGAAGGCGGCACGCUGGACCUUUUCUGACGCUGAGGCGCGAAAGCCAGGGGAGCAAACGGG
rnacentral:rRNA from 1 species